GGAUGAACGCUGGCGGCGUGCUUAACACAUGCAAGUCGAACGGAAAGGCCAGUGCUUGCACUGGUACUCGAGUGGCGAACGGGUGAGUAACACGUGGGUGAUCUGCCCUGUACUUCGGGAUAAGCUUGGGAAACUGGGUCUAAUACCGGAUAGGACAACUUUUUGGAUAUUGUUGUGGAAAGCUUUUGCGGUAUGGGAUGAGCUCGCGGCCUAUCAGCUUGUUGGUGGGGUAAUGGCCUACCAAGGCGUCGACGGGUAGCCGGCCUGAGAGGGUGUACGGCCACAUUGGGACUGAGAUACGGCCCAGACUCCUACGGGAGGCAGCAGUGGGGAAUAUUGCACAAUGGGCGCAAGCCUGAUGCAGCGACGCCGCGUGGGGGAUGAAGGCCUUCGGGUUGUAAACUCCUUUCGCUAGGGACGAAGCAUUUUUGUGACGGUACCUGGAGAAGAAGCACCGGCUAACUACGU
rnacentral:rRNA from 1 species